AAGUCCCUCGUUGUUAUUGAUAUGAUUUGGCUCUGUGUCCCCACCCAAAUCUCAUCUCAAAUGGUAAUCCCCACUUGUGGAGGGAAGGACCUGUAAUCUCCAUGUGUUAAGGGAGGGAGGUGACUGGAUCAUGGGGGUGGUUUCCUAUGCUGUUCUUGUGAUAGUGAGUGAGUUCUCACAAGAUCUGAUGGUUCUAUAAGUGCUUGACAGUUCCUCUUUCACUUCCUCUUCUCUCCUGCUGCCUUGUGAAGGAGGUGUCUGCUUCCCCUGCACCAUAAUUAAAAGUCUCCUGAGGCCUCCCCUGCCACAUGGAGCUGUGAGUCAAUUA